ACGAACGCUGGCGGCGCGCCUAACACAUGCAAGUCGAACGAGCGAGAGAGAGCUUGCUUUCUCGAGCGAGUGGCGAACGGGUGAGUAACGCGUGAGGAACCUGCCUCAAAGUGGGGGACAACAGUUGGAAACGACUGCUAAUACCGCAUAAGCCCACGACCCGGCAUCGGGUAGAGGGAAAAGGAGCAAUCCGCUUUGAGAUGGCCUCGCGUCCGAUUAGCUAGUUGGUGAGGUAACGGCCCACCAAGGCGACGAUCGGUAGCCGGACUGAGAGGUUGAACGGCCACAUUGGGACUGAGACACGGCCCAGACUCCUACGGGAGGCAGCAGUGGGGAAUAUUGCACAAUGGGGGAAACCCUGAUGCAGCGACGCCGCGUGGAGGAAGAAGGUCUUCGGAUUGUAAACUCCUGUUGUUGAGGAAGAUAAUGACGGUACUCAACAAGGAAGUGACGGCUAACUACGU
rnacentral:rRNA from 1 species